GCUAGGCUCAGAUGUCAAGAUCUAACUUGUCACCACAGUGUCCCGUCUUCUCAGAGGGUGAGCCACGUGCCUGUGUGCCCAGCCCGUGGAGUCGCCGUCCACGUGGCAGGCAAAGGCGUCGACGGGGCGGGUAGCUCUGCUGCUCCCUGGCCCUGGGCGUUAGGACCUGCUGCUCGGAAGCCCCUGGGCAGGGCUGCCGGGGCCCAGAGGGACCCGGGAGCCCAGGCUCCAGGAGAAGAGGCGCCAACACCCCAUUUGCUUUGCUUUUUAGCGUGUCCUGUCCUCAAGCUCCUGCCUCCGUGGGAACGUGCAGGACUCUGCGGCCGGCACCGCCCACCCGGGCCUCGGCGCCCACCCAGCUCCGUGUGGAGGGAGCUGUCAAUCACCUGGCGGAAUGGCUACCACGUCAGGCGCCCCUCAGACCCCCACCCCAACCUCCUGCGUGGCCUGGCCGUCUACCCCUGGAUGUCCCCGUGCAUGCUCUCCCUUGCCGGCUGGUGACAUCCUCACUCACUCAUUGUCCCCAGCCCAGGGUCUCAGCCACUCUGUGCUCCUUUACGUUUCCUUAUACAUGAUCAGGGACACGCCUGCCACCUGCGGGCGAGGCCUGGGGACCAGGUACAGGUGGCGGCAGCUGUGGGCUGAGGUCACUGAGAGCAGCCUGGGCAGGGUGCCAGGCUCCGGGGCCACAGGUCUGAGCCUUCCCUGGGACUGCUCCAGCAGAGGCUGGCAAGAGCCCAGCACGGGGACAGGUGGCCGGCAGAUGGGGAGGUGUGUCAACCGGGUCAAGGACACGGAGCCUGGGAGCCAGCUGGCUGGUCCUGGCUCCGGAGGUGAGCGUCAGCGGUGGGGUGGCAGCUGCUCAGAGGUGCCACACCAGGCCUUCCUUCCCUUCUUCUGUGAUAUGUGCCCUCUGGGGACAGGAGCAUGUCCCCGGCCCUGAGUGGGGAGCUGGACCCUGUGGACAUGGAGAACCAGCAGGUGGAGCGGGAAGAGCGAGCUCUGACCAGGAGGAGCGCUAAUGCUCGCCUGGGGGGAGGGCGCCUGGGACCCGUGGACGAGCUGGUCAAGAGCAGAGAGACUGUCACUGGAGGAUGUCACCGCCUGUCUCCGUGUGGCCCGCGAGUCGCACGAGGACACAAGCACCUCCUGAGUGGCCGCGAAUCAGACACAUCCUUGACUUCCAUUAAGUAACCCCAGGGCCCCCAGGGCCACCGCCACGGGAAGGGGUCCCAGUGCCCCCAAUGAUCUUCAUGAGAGGGCGAGAGCGUAGGUGCCUCUCCACCCCAAGCACCGAGCGCAGGUGGAGGUGAGGAAGCACCCACCCAGCUAAUACCCGUGUCCGCCAUAUUGGUUUCCUAGGGCGGCCAAGACGGAGGGCCACGGAGCAUGGCGUCUAGGCCAACGUUUGUUCCCUCACGGUCCUGGAGGCCAGAGUCGAGAUCAAUCAAGUCGUCUGUGCCUUGAUGCGUUUGGAUGUGGUUCAAGGGUGUCCCCAAGGGCUCAGGGGCUGGAGCCUGGGUCCCCAGCGUGGACAUGUUGGCAGAUGUACUCAGUCUUUGAAGUAGAUUCUCGCCCCCGAUGAGCACCUGCUCGAACUCAGGGUACGGUGGUCUAACACCUGCUCGGGCCCAGAUGCGACUGAGUUGCAAGCUGACUGCGUGUUUCCUCCUUCUGUGGCUUGCGUGCUUGCUAACUGGAAAAUUCCAGUCCUGCUUAGGGCUCCCAGGUCCUGCUGGCUAUGGUUCUAGCUUCUGUGAUUGGCUUACUCACGUGAGGGCAGGGAAAGUCCCUGAGCUGUGGUUUUCAUCUUUAAGUUCCCAGGACACAGAGCAGGAAACUGCUGUCCUCCCACAGAGCUUCAGUCUCUAUGUGCGAGUGACAGUCCCUGACCAGGUAAAUAAAGCUCUCUUGUUUUCUGAAGCGGUUCCCCAUGACACUACAGCCAUGUUGUCAUGCAGCUGAGGGGGCCCUCACCAGAGGCUGAAAAGAUGGGGCCACCCGAUCUUGGAUUUUCAUUCUCCAAAUCCGAGCUAAGUAAACCUCCUUUCUUUAUA